GCCGAGGUGGUGGAAUGGUAGACACCGGGGACUUAAAAUCCCCUGGCCCUAGGCCGUGUGAGUUCAAAUCUCAUCCUCGGCA
rnacentral:tRNA from 1 species